GCGGGCGUAGUUCAAUGGUAGAACACUAGCCUUCCAAGCUAGAUACGUGAGUUCGAUUCUCAUCGCCCGCU
rnacentral:tRNA from 1 species